CAAUGGCUAGAGGAGCUCCCUUCAGUCCAAGCACAGAAAAAGAAGGAUGGGAACUAUCUCCCGCAUCAUUCACUCAAUCACAGUAGCGUUAAACUUUUCGUGUCUACUGAGUGAUUAAAUGAAUGAGUCGGCAGCUAAUUCAACCCCUCAUCUCAUCCAUGAGUGGACAGAAGGAAGCUCUCUUAGACCAUCUC
rnacentral:pre_miRNA from 1 species